AACAUAGGGGGUAAGCGUUGUCCGGAAUCACUGGGCGUAAAGGGCGCGUAGGUGGUCUGUUAAGUCAGAUGUGAAAUGUAAGGGCUCAACCCUUAACGUGCAUCUGAUACUGGCAGACUUGAGUGCGGAAGAGGCAAGUGGAAUUCCUAGUGUAGCGGUGAAAUGCGUAGAUAUUAGGAGGAACACCAGUGGCGAAGGCGACUUGCUGGGCCGUAACUGACGCUGAGGCGCGAAAGCGUGGGGAGCAAACAGG
rnacentral:rRNA from 1 species